AGAGAAGCUUGCUUUCUUGCUGACGAGCGGCGGACGGGUGAGUAAUGUAUGGGGAUCUGCCCGAUAGAGGGGGAUAACUACUGGAAACGGUGGCUAAUACCGCAUAAUGUCUACAGACCAAAGCAGGGGCUCUUCGGACCUUGCACUAUCGGAUGAACCCAUGUGGGAUUAGCUAGUGGGUGGGGUAAAGGCUCACCUAGGCCACUAUCUCUAUCUGGUCUGAGAGGAUGAUCACCCACACUGGGACUGAGACACGGCCCACACUCCUACGGGAGGCAGCAGUGGGGAAUAUUGCACAGUGGGCGCAAGCCUGAUGCACCCAUGCCGCGUGUAUGAAAAAGGCCUUAGGGUUGUAAAGUACUUUCAGCGGGGAGGAAGGUGAUAAGGUUAAUACCCUUAUCAAUUGACUUUACCCACAAAAGAAGCACCGGCUAACUCCGUGCCCGCAGCCGCUGUAAUACAGAGGGUGCAAGCGUUAAUCGGAAUUACUGGGCGUAGAGCGCACGCGCGCGGUCAAUUAUCUCAGAUGUGAACCCCCCGAUCUUAACUUGAGAAUUGCAUCUGACAGUGGUUGGCUAGAGUCUUGUAGAGGGGGGUAAAAUUCCCGUGUGUA
rnacentral:rRNA from 1 species